AUUAGAAUUAAAAUUUUAUCUUAAUAACACACAUAAUAAAAUAUUUUAUUAAAUGUCAAUAUGUAUUAUUAAAAUAAAACUUCAAUUUUA
rnacentral:miRNA from 1 species